rnacentral:rRNA from 1 species
AAUCAUGGCUCAGGAUGAACGCUAGCUACAGGCUUAACACAUGCAAGUCGAGGGGCAGCAUGACCUAGCAAUAGGUUGAUGGCGACCGGCGCACGGGUGAGUAACACGUAUCCAACCUACCGGUUAUUCCGGGAUAGCCUUUCGAAAGAAAGAUUAAUACCGGAUAGUAUAACGAGAAGGCAUCUUUUUGUUAUUAAAGAAUUUCGAUAACCGAUGGGGAUGCGUUCCAUUAGUUUGUUGGCGGGUAGACCGACCAC